CUCUUCAGUGUUUACAAGAGAAUUUAUAUAGGAAGGUAAUUUUACCCUUCCUUGGAUACUUCCUAGCUAAGGAAUUACAUGAGUGGCUGAAUACAAGGAGAAAAUGGAAAUUUAGACACAAAAAUAUCAGAAGAAAAAGAGUCGGCAAAAAUAUCCAAUUUUCGCACGUUGCAGUUCCAAUUUCGCACUUUGGUUUCAGGUGUGCGAAAUUCCCACACUUUGGACUGAGGAAUUCGCACCUUGAUUUCCAUCGUGCGAAAUUGUCCCUCAGCUUGAUGCAGUUGUCUUCCGGAGGCCAUAUCUUCCUCAUUUCAGCUCCAAAUCGUACAUGGUUUGAAUCGUUGGAUUCUUGACUUUCUGAGCUUUGAAAUGGUAUAUAGAAUGUAGAAAAUGGACUUCGGGAAUUGCUCCAAAAGUGCAAUGAAAGACUGCAGCUGUGUCCCCUGUUUUCAUCACCCUGUUUUCCUCUUCUCCAUUGUUCUUUCCUUGCAUACUUUGAACGACUAAGGCAAAGGAUUAUGAGGCUCCAAAGCUUGGUUUCUUCUUAAAUUUGAGCUUCCAAAAACUUUGCCAUGAAUUAUAUAUAUAGCUCUCCCUCAUUCUUAAAUUGCUUUGGUGAGCAUAAAGCUAUCAAAAAGCACCAAAACUUAACACAAAUUGAUUAGAAACGAUUGCAAGGGUCCCUAACAUGUUAAUUGAGUUAAAAGGUAAUAAUUACUACUCAAGGGUGCUUAAAAGAGCUAAUAACAAGCUACAAAAUAGCAUGUUUUGAGUAGUAAUCAC
rnacentral:lncRNA from 1 species